CUGAAAAUUUCAAAAAGAUCAGAGCAUCGUAACUGUACUUUUCCGUCCCUCGAAACUAUUUGUGCGCGCUAAUUUGACGCGCGCGGUGAACCUACUCAUAUCUGGCUUUGUUCGUUCGAGCAGCUGCGUACUAUUAUAAAUCUCUUAUUUCUGCUUAUCCGUUAAUAGAUUUAGGAGUGUAUUCUUCCGCAUAUGUCCUUCACUAUAUAUAUUUGGUGCAAACGACACUUUAUAGUACUGUAGCAACAGAUUUGUAGCAGCAGUCGUGUCUCGAAAUUCAACAGAGCAACAUCUUCGAGUAUACUAAAUUUGCAAUUGAUUCGAAGAAAUCAUACCAUCACAGUUCUACAAGUGGACGUCCAGGAUCUAAAUUCAAAAAGCGUAAAUUCCGAGGAAACCAGCACACCUACGAUGGAGGUACUGCUCAUGCGAGUGCAUCGGCAGCGAAAUUGCAAAAAACCAAAGAUACAGAUUUCGAUGUGAAAAUUAAAGGCAACGCAGGCUACAGCAUGAUACAGUUUUUUUCGGUUUUUUCAUUGCUAUCGCAGUGGAUACAGUGUAACGUGUGCCAAGGCAAUAUUUCAUUUUCGAAAUACGGCCAGAGAGGCCUUGGCUUCAAAGUCUGUGUCACUUGUAAGUGUGGAGACAAAUUCAUUGACUCGUGUCCGAUGAUCAGUACUGGAUACGAAAUCAAUCGUCAACCAAUUUUGAAAAUUAUUGAGGUAGUGGGCAUUACAAUCGGCGAAAUCGCUGCUCAGUAUGCCAGCAAACGAGACAACGAGCGCGUUGUCAAAGAAAAUCGCCGCUCGUCUGAAGCUUCUAAAGAGAGCAGAACAAAAAAAAGACAAGUUAGACUGGAAGAACAUUAUCUUCUGUAGCAGUCAGAAGGAAUACUGUAUGGUGCAGAUAAUUCGAUCUCAAGAUUUUAUCAACAGCGCAAAAGCUAAUCUAUUUUUAGGCGUUCUGUUCAAGGGCCUUUCCAAUGUAUAUAGAGCGUAUAAAAUAAAUAAAAAAAAAUUUUUAAUGUACUUUAAGAGUAUAUUUAUUAAGCACAAUAAACCCUACAUCAAUAUCUUUCUUAGUUUUCUAAUAAAAAAUUGACA